CUGAAACUCAAAAAUUUUUUUUUCAUCAAACCCAUACGUGUGGGGUGAUAGGUCUUCAAAAAUGAUAUUGAGGUUUCAUAUAUUUUUUUUUUCUAAACUGAAUACUUUGCGCGAGAGACACUUUCAAAGUGGUAAAAUGUGUCCCCCCCUGUAACUUCUAAAAUAAGAGAAAAAUAAAACUAAAAAAAUAUAUGCAAACUUCCACCGAAAAUUGGUUUGAACGAGAUCUAGUAAGUAGUUUUUUUUAAUACAACUGAAACUCAAAAUCUUUUUUUCAUCAAACCCAUUUGUGUGGGCUAUCUAUGGAUAGGUCUUCAAAAAUGAUAUUGAGGUUUCUAAUAUCAUUUUUUUCUAAACUGAAUAGUUUGCGCGCGAGACACUUCCAAAGUGGUAAAAUGUGUCCCCCCCCCCCCCUGUAACUUCUAAAAUAAGAGAAUGAUAAAACUAAAAAAAAUAUAUGAUGUACAUUACCAUGCAAACUUCCACCGAAAAUUGGUUUGAACGAGAUCUAGUAAGUAGUUUUUUUUAAUACGUCAUAAA